rnacentral:rRNA from 1 species
UACAGAGGUCUCAAGCGUUGUUCGGAUUCAUUGGGCGUAAAGGGUGCGUAGGUGGCGCCGUAAGUCGGGUGUGAAAUCUCGGAGCUUAACUCCGAAACUGCAUUCGAUACUGCCGUGCUUGAGGACUGGAGAGGAGACUGGAAUUUACGGUGUAGCGGUGAAAUGCGUAGAUAUCGUAAGGAAGACCAGUGGCGAAGGCGGGUCUCUGGACAGUUCCUGACGCUGAGGCACGAAAGCGUGGGGAGCAAACAGG